GCAUAGCCAUUGUAAUGUGUAGAACAAUCUAAGUCUGAAAAACGCUUGUCUCCAGUUAUUUACAAGCAGUAAUGUCUUAUUUUGAAAAGAACUAGUAUUUGAAUGAAUGUUCAAUUUUGUUGAUUACGUUUUGGAGCACUCUACUAGUCCAUCUGUGCGAGAGAAGUCACACGAAGAUGACAUGGAAUAAUGUUAAACUCUUUUGUAGUAUUAUAGUAACUUUUUUUGUCUGUGUGAAGUUAUAUAAAAGUUAUAUAUUAUAGAAAUCGGAUGAGUCACAGCGAAACGAGCAAUUGUGGCAAUAUCUUAUUCUAUGUGAGUGUAGAAUCUCUUUAUGAUAGAUCUGAGUCAUGAUAGACAACUCUGACAAUUUUCUGACCAGAAGUUACCCAUAUAUAUACCAAGAGUUGUCGUUCGUUCUAUGCUCGGUUCACAAAUAACGAAUGAAGAUGAAUGGUACAACUUGAAUGUAGAAAAUAAAGUAAAACAACUAAACAAUACAUGACUUCAUCAUUUAGCACACUCAAAAUCUUAAUAAUGUUUAAAUUCGUAUCAAUAACACUGUGAUUGUAUGAGUUUAUUCAGUCUUAGCUUUGACCGAGUGACAAUGAAAGGUGCUGUAACAAUGUCUGACGAGUGUUGUCUAUUCUUUUUUCCCGUCUCAUUUGAUGUUUGAUUUAAUUCUACAAUGUUUUUAUGGAUUUUUUUUUAAAUUCUGCCAUAUUAAAUUACAGUCUUCGAGGCAAAAUGCGUUCAUAUUAAUUAUAAUUAUUUGUAAACUUCAGCAUAAAAUGUAAAAAAAAUC
rnacentral:misc_RNA from 1 species